rnacentral:rRNA from 1 species
UAAAGGGCGUCUAGGCGGGAGAUUAAAUUGGGUGUGAAAUCCAUUGGCUUAACCAGUGAAUGGCACCCAAAACUGAUUUUCUUGAGUUCGGGAGAGGAGANCGGAAUUCUUGGUGUAGCGGUGAAAUGCGUAGAUAUCAAGAAGAACGCCAGUGGCGAAGNCGGCUCUCUGGCCUAGGACUGACGCUAAAGCGCGAAAGCGUGGGGAGCGAACGGGAUUAGAUACCCCGGUAGUCCACGCUGUAAACGUUGUGUACUAGGUGUUAGUGCUUUAAGCACUAGUGCCGAAGCUAACGCAUUAAGUACACCGCCUGGGGAGUACGCCCGCAAGGGUGAAACUCAAAGAAAUUGACGGGGGCCCGCACAAGUGGUGGAGCAUGUGGUUUAAUUCGAUGAUACGCGAAGAACCUUACCUGGGCUUGAACUGUGCAUGACCGGUGUAGAGAUACACCUUUCUUCGGACAUGUACAGAGGUGCUGCAUGGUUGUCGUCAGCUCGUGUCGUGAGAUGUUGGGUUAAGUCCCGCAACGAGCGCAACCCUUACUCUCUGUUGCUACCAGGUAAUGCUGGGCACUCUGAGGGAACUGCCGGUGACAAACCGGAGGAAGGUGGGGAUGACGUCAAAUCAGCACGGCCCUUAUGUCCAGGGCUACACACGUGCUACAAUGGCCGGUACAAUGAGCCGCGAUGCCGCGAGGUGGAGCAAAUCUCAAAAAACCGGUCUCAGUUCGGAUUGGAGUCUGCAACUCGACUCCAUGAAGUUGGAAUCGCUAGUAAUCGGAGAUCAGCACGCUCCGGUGAAUACGUUCCCGGGCCUUGUACACACCGCCCGUCACACCACCCGAGUUGGCAGCACCCGACGUGGCUGUUCUAACCAUUUAUGGAGGAAGGUCCC